ACGAUUAUCAUUUAAUGGUAGGAUUACUGUCUUCCAAACAGCGUAUGUCGGUUCGAGUCCGACUAAUCGUA
rfam:Magnaporthe poae ATCC 64411 mitochondrial scaffold supercont1.206, whole genome shotgun sequence.